rnacentral:rRNA from 1 species
GAAGAACCUUUCCCAGGCUUGACAUAUAAGAGAACGGUCCAGAAAUGGUCAAGUCUUUUGGCACUCGUAAACACGUGGUGCAUAGUUGUGGUCACCUCGUGUCUUGAGAUAUUUGGUUAAAUCCCCCAACGAGCGCACCCCUCUUUUUAUGUUUUCACCACGUAAUGGUGGGGACUCUUUGGAUACUCCCGGGGUCAACUCGGAGGAAGGGGGGGAGGAGGUCAAAUCUUCAUGCCCCCUAUGUCUUGGGCUUCACGCAUGCUACAAUGGCCGGUACAAAGGGGGGCAACACCGUGAGGUGGAGAGAAUCCCCAAAAACCGGUCUCAGUUUGGAUUUAGGUCUGCAACUCUACCUCACGAAAUCGGAGUCGCUAGUAAUCUCAGAUCACCAACGGUGCGGUGAAUACGUUUCCGGGUCUUGGCCCCCCGCCCGUCAACUCCGAAAGUCGGGACCCCCGAAAGC